rnacentral:other from 2 species
UUGUUCCUGGGAUGUGCGCCAGUGGUUCAAGUCCUCGACCCUAUGCGCGUUACCAGGAGGUGUCCUGGCGAUACUGGUGUGCAAGUCCACCUCUGAGUGGAAAGCCUAAGGUAUUCCGGUAACCUCCACCUUGAACCUAGGGGUUCAAGGGCCCAAACCACAGCGGCAUCUCCGGGACUCUC